UAGUCCAUGCCGUAAACGAUGAGAACUAGCCGUUGGUGGAUAACAUUGGUGGCGCAGUUAACGCGAUAAGUUCUCCGCCUGGGGAGUACGGCCGCAAGGUUAAAACUUAAAUGAAUUGACGGGGGCCCGCACAAGCGGUGGAGCAUGUGGUUUAAUUCGAUGCAACGCGAAGAACCUUACCUACCCUUGACAUCCUGCGAAUUUUUCAGAGAUGAAGAAGUGCCUUCGGGAGCGCAGAGACAGGUGUUGCAUGGCUGUCGUCAGCUCGUGUUGUGAAAUGUUGGGUUAAGUCCCGUAACGAGCGCAACCCUUGUCCUUAGUUGCCAUCAUUAAGUUGGGGACUCUAAGGAGACUGCCGGUGACAAGCCGGAGGAAGGUGGGGACGACGUCAAGUCAUCAUGGCCCUUAAGGGUAGGGCUACACACGUGCUACAAUGGUCGGUACAGAGGGCAGCAAUAGGGCGACCUGGAGCGAAUCCUUAAAGCCGAUCGUAGUCCGGAUUGCAGUCUGCAA
rnacentral:rRNA from 1 species